AGUGAACGCUGGCGGUAGGCCUAACACAUGCAAGUCGAACGGCAGCACAGUAAGAGCUUGCUCUUACGGGUGGCGAGUGGCGGACGGGUGAGGAAUACAUCGGAAUCUACUUUUUCGUGGGGGAUAACGUGGGGAAACUUACGCUAAUACCGCAUACGACCUACGGGUGAAAGCAGGGGAUCUUCGGACCUUGCGCGAUUGAAUGAGCCGAUGUCGGAUUAGCUAGUUGGCGGGGUAAAGGCCCACCAAGGCGACGAUCCGUAGCUGGUCUGAGAGGAUGAUCAGCCACACUGGAACUGAGACACGGUCCAGACUCCUACGGGAGGCAGCAGUGGGGAAUAUUGGACAAUGGGCGCAAGCCUGGUCCAGCCAUACCGCGUGGGUGAAGAAGGCCUUCGGGUUGUAAAGCCCUUUUGUUGGGAAAGAAAAGCAGCAGGUUAAUACCCCGCUGUUCUGACGGUACCCAAAGAAUAAGCACCGGCUAACUUCGUG
rnacentral:rRNA from 1 species